rnacentral:lncRNA from 1 species
CCAGGGUGCCAGUCAAACUCUGAAGUAAAUUGCAAUCCUCUUUUAUUUUUACCUUGAGAGAGAGUCUCGACACGUGUCCAAGCUGGCCUUGAACUUGCGACUCUCUUGUCUCAGCUUCCAGGUAUCUGGGAUUAUAGGUCUGGUGUACAAGGCCUCCCGUCAUUCCCAGCUCCUUUUGCUUUGUUUUAAAAUCAGUCACACCAGUCCUUCUCUCUCAGUCAGUCGACUGCUAAGAUUGGUUAGGCUACUAGCCUGGGCUCACUCCACACUUCCUGGUUCUCACUUUGCAUUCACCAUAUCUCAUAUUCACCUUCAUUUAACAACAGCACUCAGCUCAACUCCAGCCCAGUAUCUGCUAUGUCCCAGCCCAGCUCUGACAAACCCUUUGUAGGGCUUCUACCCUACAAAGAACACCUCGGCCUGACAUGUCUAGACACCUGUAUUCAGCCCCACCGUUGCUGCUUCCUGUCCCUCGAGCUGGGAAGUCCGGGUUGAACAAUAAAAGGAUGUCUACUCUUA